CCGGUUGAUCCUGCCAGAGGCUACUGCUAUCGGGGUCCGACUAAGCCAUGCGAGUUGAGAGGGGUAAGCCCUCGGCAUAUUGCUCAGUAACACGCGGAUAACCUGCCCUUGGGUUUGGGAUAACCCCGGGAAACUGGGACUAAUACCGGAUAGAUCAAAGAAACUGGAAUGUUCUCUGAUCGAAAGCUCCGGCGCCCAAGGAUGGGUCUGCGGCCUAUCAGGUAGUAGUGGGUGUAACGUACCUACUAGCCUACGACGGGUAAGGGUUGUGAGAGCAAGAGCCCUGAGAUGGAUUCUGAGACAUGAAUCCAGGCCCUACGGGGUGCAGCAGGCGCGAAAACUUUACACUGCGGGAAACCGCGAUAAGGGGACCCCGAGUGCCAGCACCUAGUGCUGGCUGUCCAGCUGUUCAAAUAACAGUUGUUAGCAAGGGCCGGGCAAGACCGGUGCCAGCCGCCGCGGUAACACCGGCGGCCCGAGUGGUAGCCGUUAUUAUUGGGUUUAAAGGGUCCGUAGCCGGCCUAUUAAGUCUCUUGGGAAAUCUGGCGACUCAAUCGUCAGGCGUUCAAGAGAUACUGGUAGGCUUGGGACCGGGAGAGGUGGGAGGUACUCCAGGGGUAGGGGUGAAAUCUCGUAAUCCUUGGGGGACCACCGAUGGCGAAGGCAUCCCACCAGAACGGGUCCGACGGUGAGGGACGAAAGCUGGGGGCACGAACCGGAUUAGAUACCCGGGUAGUCCCAGCCGUAAACGAUGCUCGCUAGGUGUCAGGUGCGGUGCGACCGCAUCUGGUGCCGCAGUGAAAACUUGAAGCGAGUCACCUGGGAAGUACGGUCGCAAGGCUGAAACUUAAAGGAAUUGGCGGGGGAGCACUACAACGGGUGGAGCCUGCGGUUCAAUUGGAUUCAACGCCGGA
rnacentral:rRNA from 1 species